rnacentral:rRNA from 1 species
GACGAACGCUGGCGGCGUGCCUAAUACAUGCAAGUAGGACGCAGUCGCGAACGGGUGAGUAACGCGUAGGUAAUUGCCUAUUAGAGGGGGACAACUAUUGGAACCGCUAGCUAAUACCGCAUACUAGUAGAUGGACCUGCGUUGUAUUAGCUAGUAGGUAGGGUAAUGGCCUAACUAUGCAACGCUACAUAGCCGACCUGGGAGGGAGAUCGGCCACACUGGGACUGGGACACGGCCCAGACUCCUACGGGAGGCAGCAGUAGGGGAUCUGCGGCAAUGGGGGGAAACCUGACCGAGCAACGCCGCGUGGGUGAAGAAGAUUUUCGGAUCGUAAAGCUCUGUUGUUAAGAAAGCGGUAGUUAACCAGAAAGGGACGGCUAACUACGUGCCAGCCGCCGCGGUGAUAC